rnacentral:lncRNA from 1 species
GGGAAGGUCCCCACCUACAUAUUCCAUUGAUCGAAAGAGUUUGGGCCAGUUUGGUAGGGCUCCGGCUCUUCUUAAAACGGCUCCGGCUCCGGCUCCUCUGAUGGAGCGGCUUCUCUGAUGUUGAUGGAGCCGUUUUCGAAGGUGUUUGGCAAAACGGCUUCUCCUAUAUUAUUAGCUAUGGAUAUAAGAGGUCAAAUGUCC